rnacentral:tRNA from 1 species
UGCACCAUAGCCAAGCGGUAAGGCACAUGAGUUUGAUUCAUGUAUGCGUCGGUUCGAAUCCGACUGGUGUAG